UCCAAAAAGCUGUGCUUUUUUUCUUUUUUUCUUUUUUUUUUUCCUCCCUUUUUUUUACUCUCUUCUCCGAAUGAGUGUUUUCCUUUUUUUUGGUCUGUUUUCUAAAGAGACCCAGUUCGUGUUUUUGCGAUUUUUCUUUUAAUUCUGUUUCAAUGGAGAGGAACCCCUUUUAUCAACAAUCAAUUUUAUUGCUUCUGCCUGACUAUUUUUUUUUUUUUUUUUUCUGGAUGGAAGUGGAAUAUAAUUCUUUUCUACCAAGCAGGAAUUCGUCCGCACCCAGAUGACAAAAAGCAAAGGCCGAAGAAACUGGAUCUCAAACCACACGGCAGGUCUAAGUUUUUCUGGUUCCAAAUCCGAUGAACCCAGAUGAAAGAUUCGGAUAAUUCAUUUCUCGGGUAUUUUGACAAUCUUUCUUGACGGAAAUUUUUGAAGAACCUGAAAAUAGUCUAUGAAGAAGUCAAAAGGGCAAAGAAAAUGGAAAACAACAAGAUGGGGUCAUUGCCGAUUCUCCAACUGUUUCUGAAUUUGACUAUGUUUCUGGAUGGAAGUGGGAUAAUUGUUAUCUACCAAGCAGUGCAAUCUGCUACAAAAUGCAAAUGAAGAAUUGAGAAACUGCAGAGAGAGCCUUAUAGAGUGUUAAUUUAAUUAUAUUAUGUACAAUUAUAAUAAUUUUUUUAUUUUGUUAGAAAUAAUUGUAGAAUAAUAUUGUAAAUAAUAAAAGAUGAUAAUUUUUUGGGUUGGGGAGGAAGAAGAUUGCUGGGAUUUGCCAGGUCUCUUCCUCUCUCUAGUCUCUGCUUUCUUUUUUUCUCUUUCUCUA